rnacentral:lncRNA from 1 species
ACCGCUCCUCUGAGCUCUGUUACAUGACACGCCUCAGCCCAUAUCCAUUGGUGUUUGGGAGUUGAAAUAAAAAGAAUGCCUCAACUGCUGGCAGCACUACUGCCCUCCAAACAAUGGCUCAAAUCCACAUUUUGGCUCCAGCAUUUCCUCUCUUUCGCCUCUCCUCCCAAACCCGUCUUUCUUUUUCAAUCAACUUCUUCUGGGUUUCGAUUCAACUCAUAUGCUGCCAACAGGAGGCUCUCCACAAUCCCAG